rnacentral:rRNA from 1 species
UACGUAGGGGGCAAGCGUUGUCCGGAAUCAUUGGGCGUAAAGCGCGUGUAGGCGGCCCGAUAAGUCCGCUGUGAAAGUCCAGGGCUCAACCCUGGGAUGCCGGUGGAUACUGUCGGGCUCGAGUCCGGAAGAGGCGAGUGGAAUUCCUGGUGUAGCGGUGAAAUGCGCAGAUAUCAGGAGGAACACCAAUGGCGAAGGCAGCUCGCUGGGGACGUGACUGACGCUGAGACGCGAAAGCGUGGGGGAGCAAAACAGG